UACGUAGGAGGCAAGCGUUGUCCGGAAUUACUGGGCGUAAAGCGCGUGUAGGUGGUGGGACAAGUCUGCUGUGAAAGCGCCUGGCUUAACCGGGCGAGGUCGGCGGAAACUGUUCGACUCGAGGACGGUAGAGGGGGGUGGAAUUCCCGGUGUAGUGGUGAAAUGCGUAGAGAUCGGGAGGAACACCUGUGGCGAAGGCGGCCCCCUGGGCCG
rnacentral:rRNA from 1 species